GUGGGGGUGACACUGGCUGUUUCUGCAGAGCACUUUGGGCUCCUCCCGGGGAAGUGCCAGUGCGUCUGCAGGGCCUGAGUCUCACAUGCAGUUUUGUUUCCUUGGGGUCUCCCAGGAGCUGAUUGAAAAUCUCCCUGGUGCGUCAGAGCCGAGCUCCAUCAUGCCCAGCUCCAUGGCCGCAGUUUGCAGCCUCAGGCUCUGUACAACACCUAUAACCAGAGCCUGGACAUCCUGCUCAGGGGCCUGCUGACGGAGACCCCCACCAUGGAGAAGCUGCAGCACCUCCUGGAGCACGUCCAUCUCUCUCUCCUGGCAAACAACACCCAG